GGAAAGGUGAGUAUCAGAGAAAAAGAGGAAGGAGAGAAUGAAAGAGAUGUUACAUUGCUGGCUUUAAAGAUGGAAGAAGAGGGUCUUAAGCCAAGGGAUGUAGGCCUCCUCUAGAAGCUAGAAAAGGUAAGGAAAAGAAUUUUUCCCUGGAGGUUAUAACAUACUAAGAUCGCGGCCAAGUAACAGCUUUCUUGCAACUGGGCACAGUAAGUUUGGACUCCAGGCAUCUCUCUCUGGUGGGAUCUGCCCAGAAACAUCCCUUUGAGGACACAGGGAGUCAGCGUGAGACCUCUGGACCCCAUGAGGAGGACAAGAGCAGCGGAAAACUGGCAAGUGUUCUUGUCUCUUUUUCCUUUGGUAUCUUUUAUUCUGUCCCAAUAAAGUGUGUGUCCAAAAUUGUGAAGCUCAUCAUCUGGAAAAAUAUAAGAAGAAGACUUUGUCCUCGCACAGAGCUACAUCCUCUGCUGAGUAGGGUCAGGAAUCCUGCAACUCAAGUCUCAUCUGAUUCACUGACAGGCUGCGAUCUCCUGUCCAGGGAUGUGGCUUGCCCAUGUCUUUCCCAGUUGGAGCUGUUUCUCCACCCAGGGCUGGAUCCCUAGGGUCAGGCAGUGUAGGGGAACAGCCCUCAGGAGAAAAGAGAAAUUCCACCUGGGUGGCCAUGGCAUAGCUCUGCACUGCAGAGAUCACAGGCUCCUGCACCAGGUGAGCUAAGAGAGCUGCUCUCAGAUUAGGAGAAAAUGUAUCUCCUGUGUCCUCACCCAGGCUAUGUCUUGAUAAAUGGCCUCAGACAUAGCACUGGGGGAGGUCACCAUUCCUUUGGCAACACAGUAGGUGAUAUUUUGGGAACUUCAAUCUGGGUGAUUUGGAACUGUAAUCAGGGCCGCUUGCUGUACCCAGUGUAGGACC